rnacentral:sRNA from 1 species
CGCCUAAACUCAUAGAUUUUCUAUGGGCACGGCAUGAAAUUCCCAUCAAAGGUAUUGAGCUCCAUGCUCAGCGUACUCUUUGAUGGGUCUUGUCGGGAAACUGGCAGGUGCUGGGCUGGAGCUCUAUG